GAUUUUUUAAAUUGCUGUGGUAUUUUGACUAUACAAAGGUAUUGAAAUAAGAUUUUAAUUGAAUGCUAAGAGAAUGGAAUCACAGAAAACAACUUUCUUAAAAUUAAAAAUUGAACUUUUUUUAAUUUGUGCAGAAACAAUUAUUUAAAUUAAGGACAAGAAGACCCUAAGAAUUUAUGAAUUUAAAUAAAUAUAAUUAUAUAUUAUUUAAAUUUUAGCUGGGGCGGCUGAGAAAUAUUAAAAACUUUUUAGUUUAAUAUGACCCAUUAUUAAUGAUAAUAUGAAAAAUACUCUAGGGAUAACAGCGUUAUAUUUUUUGAUAGAUCAUAUUGACAAAAAAGUUUGCGACCUCGAUGUUGGAUUAGGAUUCUUUUUUAAUGAAGACGCUAA
rnacentral:rRNA from 1 species